rnacentral:rRNA from 1 species
CCUACGGGUGGCAGCAGUGAGGAAUCUUUGUCAAUGGGCGGGAGCCUGAACCAGCCAAGCCGCGUGAGGGAAGAAGGUUCUGCGUAUCGUAAACCUCUUUUGUCAGGGAACAAAGGCGGGGACUAGUCCCCGGAUGAGGGUACCUGAAGAAAAAGCAUCGGCUAACUCCGUGCCCGCAGCCGCGGGAAUACGGAGGAUGCGAGCGUUAUCCGGAAUUGAUGGGUUUAAAGGGGGCGCAGGCUGUCUGUGAAGUCAGCGGUGAAAGCCCGGGGCUCACCCCGCGCAGGGCAGAUGAGACUGGGGGGCUAGAGUAUGAGAGAGGUAAGCGGAAUGCGCGGUGUAGCAGUGAAAUGCUUAGAUAUCGAGCAGAACCCCGGUUGCGAAGGCGGCGUACCGGCUCCACACUGACGCUGAGGCACGAAGGCGAGGGGAUCGAACGGGAUUAGAUACCCGGGUAGUC